rnacentral:rRNA from 1 species
GACGUAGGUGGCGAACGUUAUCCGGAAUCAUUGGGCGUAAAGGGUGCGUAGAUGGCAUGAUAAGUUAUUAGUGGGAAAUCGAGGCUCAACCUCGUGGAAGCUGGUAAUACUGUUUUGCUUGAGUGCAGGAGAGGUUAACGGAACUCCAUGUGGAGCGGUAAAAUGCGUAGAUAUCAGGAGGAAUACCGGUGGUGUAGACGGCUCUCUGGACCGCGACUGACGCUGAGACACGAAAGCGUGGGUAGCAAACAGG